GGUAGCGCCAAUCAUGAGGCCAGUUGCACCAAUAAAUAGCUCUCUUUAUUGGGGGGAAAUGGGGACAGCUGGAAAAGCGUGCCAGUCAAAUUCGAAGAGUACGGUUGGCCCAACGCAUGUUCCCCUCAGUUUCCACAGCCUCCGUAACCACACUAGAGCAUAUGGAACACUUCCUCAGGAGUAUCUUCGACUGCCUGACUGAAGAACAGGCGAAGACUUGCGACAGUGGGCUGUAUUUUAAAAAAUUUGGCUUGGGAGCGAGUAACGUUGGACGAAAAUCGGGAAUUAUUAUUAAAAUGGAGACACCGAGAUAGAAGUUGGAAGCGUUUGAGGGGCAUAGAAAUAGAAAAGCCUGGCGUCGAGAAGAUUGUGUUGUCUGUCGUCCAAUAGUCCUCUUAACGUGAUUUUAGUACAAUACCCAUUGCGAUAACAAGAGCAAAAUAAAUGUAUAAUUCGUCUGCGUCAGUUUCUCACCACUGCGUUAUCCGACUAGCUGGCCCCAUUUCCCCUCGAUCAAAGGGACGGGUGGCAUAUACUUGUCCAUAUCUAUUGGUUUCAUUUGCAAUGUGCUCCAUGAUUAGCCUAUCCCAUAUUGCUUGAAAGGCAGCAUAAGGUGAUGCGGUAGCACCAAUCAUGAGGCCAGUUGCACCAAUAAAUAGCUCUCUAUUGUGUAACGUUGGACGAAAAUCGGGAAUUAUUAUUAAAAUGGAGACACCGAGAUAGAAGUUGGAAGCGUUUGAGGGGCAUAGAAAUAGAAAAGCCUGGCGUCGAGAAGAUUGUGUUGUCUGUCGUCCAAUAGUCCUCGUAACGUGAUUUUAGUACAAUACCCAUUGCGAUAACAAGAGCAAAAUAAAUGUAUAAUUCGUCUGCGUCAGUUUCUCACCACUGCGUUAUCCGACUAGCUGGCCCCAUUUCCCCUCGAUUAAAGGGACGGGUGGCAUAUACUUGUCCAUAUCUAUUGGUUUCAUUUGCAAUGUGCUCCAUGAUUAGCCUAUCCCAUAUUGCUUGAAAGACUUGCGACAAUGGGCUGUAUUUUAAAAAAUUUGGCUUGUGAGCGAGUAACGUUGGACGAAAAUCGGGAAUUAUUAUUAAAAUGGAGACACCGAGAUAGAAGUUGGAAGCGUUUGAGGGGCAUAGAAAUAGAAAAGCCUGGCGUCGAGAAGAUUGUGUUGUCUGUCGUCCAAUAGUCCUCGUAACGUGAUUUUAGUACAAUACCCAUUGCGAUAACAAGAGCAAAAUAAAUGUAUAACUCGUCUGCGUCAGUUUCUCACCACUGCGUUAUCCGACUAGCUGGCCCCAUUUCCCGUUGAUAAAAGGGACGGGUGGCAUAUACUUGUCCAUAUCUAUUGGUUUCAUUUGCAAUGUGCUCCAUGAUUAGCCUAUCCCAUAUUGCUUGAAAGGCAGCAUAAGGUGAUGCGGUAGCACCAUUCAUGAGGCCAGUUGCACCAAUAAAUAGCUCUCUAUUGUGCACCGAGAUAGAAGUUGGAAGCGUUUGAGGGGCAUAGAAAUAGAAAAGCCUGGCGUCGAGAAGAUUGUGUUGUCUGUCGUCCAAUAGUCCUCUUAACGUGACUUUAGUACAAUACCCAUUGCGAUAACAAGAGCAAAAUAAAUGUAUAAUUCGUCUGCGUCAGUUUCUCACCACUGCGUUAUCCGACUAGCUGGCCCCAUUUCCCCUCGAUUAAAGCGACGGGUGGCAUAUACUUGUCCAUAUCUAUUGGUUUCAUUUGCAAUGUGCUCCAUGAUUAGCCUUUCCCAUAUUGCUUGAAAGGCAGCAUAAGGUGAUGCGGUAGCACCAGUCAUGAGGCCAGUUGCUCCAAUAAACUGCACUCUCCUUAUUGGGGGGAAAUGGGGACAGCUGAAAAAGCGUGCCAGUCAAAUUCGAAGAGUACGGUUGGCCCAACGCAUGUUCCCCUCAGUUUCCACAGCCUCCGUAACCACACUAGAGCAUAUGGAAUACUUCCUCAGGAGUAUCUUCGACUGCCUGACUGAAGAACAGGCGAAGACUUGAGACAAUGGGCUGUAUUUUAAAAAUUUGGCUUGGGAGCGAGUAACUUUGGACGAAAAUCGGGAAUUAUUAUUAAAAUGGAGACACCGAGAUAGCAGUUGGAAGCGUUUGAGGGGCAUAGAAAUAGAAAAGCCUGGCGUCGAGAAGAUUGUGUUGUCUGUCGUCCAAUAGUCCUCUUAACGUGAUUUUAGUACAAUACCCAUUGCGAUAACAAGAGCAAAAUAAAUGUAUAAUUCGUCUGCGUCAGUUUCUCACCACUGCGUUAUCCGACUAGCUGGCCCCAUUUCCCCUCGAUUAAUGGGACGGUUGGCAUAUACUUGUCCAUAUCUAUUGGUUUCAUUUUCAAUGUGCUUCAUGAUUAGCCUAUCCCAUAUUGCUUGAAAGGCAGCAUAAGGUGAUGCGGUAGCACCAGUCAUGAGGCCAAUUGCACCAAUAAAUAGCUCUCUAUUGGGGGGAAAUGGGGACAGCUGGAAAAGCGUGCCAGUCAAAUUCGAAGAGUACGGUUGGCCCAACGCAUGUUCCCCUCAGUUUCUACAGCCUCCGUAACCACACUAAAGCAUAUGGAAUACUUCCUCAGGAGUAUCUUCGACUGCCUGACUGAAGAACAGGCGAAGACUUGAGACAAUGGGCUGUAUUUUAAAAAAAUUGGCUUGGGAGCGAGUAACGUUGGACGAAAAUUGGGAAUAAUUAUUAAAAUGGAGACACCGAGAUAGAAGUUGGAAGCGUUUGAGGGGCAUAGAAAUAGAAAAGCCUGGCGUCGAGAAGAUUCUGUUGUCUGUCGUCCAAUAGUCCUCUUAACGUGAUUUUAGUACAAUACCCAUUGCGAUAACAAGAGCAAAAUAAAUGUAUAAUUCGUCUGCGUCAGUUUCUCACCACUGCGUUAUCCGACUAGCUGGCCCCAUUUCCCCUCGAUUAAUGGGACGGUUGGCAUAUACUUGUCCAUAUCUAUUGGUUUCAUUUUCAAUGUGCUUCAUGAUUAGCCUAUCCCAUAUUGCUUGAAAGGCAGCAUAAGGUGAUGCGGUAGCACCAGUCAUGAGGCCAAUUGCACCAAUAAAUAGCUCUCUAUUGGGGGGAAAUGGGGACAGCUGGAAAAGCGUGCCAGUCAAAUUCGAAGAGUACGGUUGGCCCAACGCAUGUUCCCCUCAGUUUCUACAGCCUCCGUAACCACACUAAAGCAUAUGGAAUACUUCCUCAGGAGUAUCUUCGACUGCCUGACUGAAGAACAGGCGAAGACUUGAGACAAUGGGCUGUAUUUUAAAAAAAUUGGCUUGGGAGCGAGUAACGUUGGACGAAAAUUGGGAAUAAUUAUUAAAAUGGAGACACCGAGAUAGAAGUUGGAAGCGUUUGAGGGGCAUAGAAAUAGAAAAGCCUGGCGUCGAGAAGAUUCUGUUGUCUGUCGUCCAAUAGUCCUCUUAACGUGAUUUUAGUACAAUACCCAUUGCGAUAACAAGAGCAAAAUAAAUGUAUAAUUCGUCUGCGUCAGUUUCUCACCACUGCGUUAUCCGACUAGCUGGCCCCAUUUCCCCUCGAUUAAAGGGACGGGUAGCAUAUACUUGUCCAUAUCUAUUGGUUUCAUUUGCAAUGUGCUCCAUGAUUAGCCUAUCCCAUAUUGCUUGAAAGGCAGCAUAAGGUGAUGCGGUAGCACCAGUCAUAAGGCCAAUUGCACCAAUAAAUAGCUCUCUAUUGGGGGGAAAUGGGGACAGCUGGAAAAGCGUGCCAGUCAAAUUCGAAGAGUAUGGUUGGCCCAACGCAUGUUCCCCUCAGUUUCCACAGCCUCCGUAACCACACUAGAGCAUAUGGAAUACUUCCUCAGGAGUAUCUUCGACUGCCUGACUGAAGAACAGGCGAAGACUUGAGACAAUGGGCUGUAUUUUAAAAAAAUUGGCUUGGGAGCGAGUAACGUUGGACGAAAAUUGGGAAUUAUUAUUAAAAUGGAGACACCGAGAUAGAAGUUGGAAGCGUUUGAGGGGCAUAGAAAUAGAAAAGCCUGGCGUCGAGAAGAUUGUGUUGUCUGUCGUCCAAUAGUCCUCUUAACGUGAUUUUAGUACAAUACCCAUUGCGAUAACAAGAGCAAAAUAAAUGUAUAAUUCGUCUGCGUCAGUUUCUCACCACUGCGUUAUCCGACUAGCUGGCCCCAUUUCCCCUCGAUUAAAGGGACGGGUAGCAUAUACUUGUCCAUAUCUAUUGGUUUCAUUUGCAAUGUGCUCCAUGAUUAGCCUAUCCCAUAUUGCUUGAAAGGCAGCAUAAGGUGAUGCGGUAGCACCAGUCAUGAGGCCAGUUGCACCAAUAAACUGCGCUCUCCUUUUUGGGGGGAAAUGGGGACAGCUGGAAAAGCGUGCCAGUCAAAUUCGAAGAGUACGGUUGGCCCAACGCAUGUUCCCCUCAGUUUCCACAGCCUCCGUAACCACACUAGAGCAUAUGGAAUACUUCCUCAGGAGUAUCUUCGCUGCCUGACUGAAGAACAGGCGAAGACUUGAGACAAUGGGCUGUAUUUUAAAAAAUUUGGCUUGGGAGCGAGUAACUUUGGACGAAAAUCGGGAAUUAUUAUUAAAAUGGAGACACCGAGAUAGCAGUUGGAAGCGUUUGAGGGGCAUAGAAAUAGAAAAGCCUGGCGUCGAAAAGAUUGUGUUGUCUGUCGUACAAUAGUCCUCUUAACGUGAUUUUAGUACAAUACCCAUUGCGAUAACAAGAGUAAAAUAAAUGUAUAAUUCGUCUGCGUCAGUUUCUCACCACUGCGUUAUCCGACUAGCUGGCCCCAUUUGCCCUCGAUUAAAGGGACGGUGGCAUAUACUUGUCCAUAUCUAUUGGUUCCAUUUGCAAUGUGCUUCAUGAUUAGCCUAUCCCAUAUAGCUUGAAAGGCAGCAUAAGGGGAUGCGGCAGCACCAAUCAUGAGGCCAGUUGCACCAAUAAACUGCUCUCUCCUUAUUGGGGGGAAAUGGGAACAGCUGGAAAAG